rnacentral:rRNA from 1 species
ACUCCUACGGGAGGCAGCAGUGGGGAAUAUUGCACAAUGGAGGAAACUCUGAUGCAGCAACGCCGCGUGGAGGAUGACGCAUUUCGGUGUGUAAACUCCUUUUAUAUGGGAAGAUAAUGACGGUACCAUAUGAAUAAGCACCGGCUAACUCCGUGCCAGCAGCCGCGGUAAUACGGAGGGUGCAAGCGUUACUCGGAAUCACUGGGCGUAAAGCGCGCGCAGGCGGCCUUUUAAGUUGGAAGUGAAAUCCUAUGGCUUAACCAUAGAACUGCUUCCAAAACUGAAAGGCUAGAGUCUGGGAGGGGAAGAUGGAAUUAGUUGUGUAGGGGUAAAAUCCGUAGAGAUAACUAGGAAUACCAAAAGCGAAGGCGAUCUUCUGGAACAGUACUGACGCUGAGGCGCGAAAGCGUGGGGAGCAAACAGGAUUAGAUACCCUGGUAGUCCACGCCCUAAACGAUGAAUGUUAGUCGUCGGGAUGCAAGUCAUUUCGGUGAUGCAGUUAACACAUUAAACAUUCCGCCUGGGGAGUACGGUCGCAAGAUUAAAACUCAAAGGAAUAGACGGGGACCCGCACAAGUGGUGGAGCAUGUGGUUUAAUUCGAAGAUACGCGAAGAACCUUACCUGGCCUUGACAUUGAUAGAAUCCCGCAGAGAUGCAGGAGUGCCCUUCGGGGAACUUGAAAACAGGUGCUGCACGGCUGUCGUCAGCUCGUGUCGUGAGAUGUUGGGUUAAGUCCCGCAACGAGCGCAACCCUCGUCACUAGUUACUAACGGUUCGGCCGAGGACUCUAGUGAGACUGCCUUCGUAAGGAGGAGGAAGGUGAGGACGACGUCAAGUCAUCAUGGCCCUUACGGCCAGGGCGACACACGUGCUACAAUGGGGGAGGACAAUGAGACGCAAUACCGCGAGGGUGGAGCAAAUCUAUAAACCUUCUCUCAGU